rnacentral:rRNA from 1 species
AACGAACGCUGGCGGCAGGCUUAACACAUGCAAGUCGAGCGCCCCGCAAGGGGAGCGGCAGACGGGUGAGUACCGCGUGGGAACGUACCUUUUGGUUCGGAACAACUCCGGGAAACUGGAGCUAAUACCGGAUAAGCCCUAACGGGGAAAGAUUUAUCGCCGAAAGAUCGGCCCGCGUCUGAUUAGCUAGUUGGUGAGGUAACGGCUCACCAAGGCGACGAUCAGUAGCUGGUCUGAGAGGAUGAUCAGCCACACUGGGACUGAGACACGGCCCAGACUCCUACGGGAGGCAGCAGUGGGGAAUAUUGGACAAUGGGCGCAAGCCUGAUCCAGCCAUGCCGCGUGAGUGAUGAAGGCCUUAGGGUUGUAAAGCUCUUUUGUCCGGGAAGAUAAUGACUGCACCGGAAGAAUAAGCCCCGGCUAACUUCGUG